rnacentral:pre_miRNA from 8 species
CCCCCACUGCUCACAUCUGGCCUGGGGAGCAGGGCUUAGCUGCUUGUGAGCAGGUCCACAUCAAAUCGUGUUCACAGUGGCUAAGUUCCGCCCCCCCAAGGGCCCUGCCGCUGCCUCUGGC